UUAAUUCAUUCAGUCAUUUCAGACACAGGUCAGAUGAUGGCAUAAGAGCGGCGCCAGCGGCGCCGAAGCACAGUUCUCGCUUCCACAGGUUUGAAGGGUUGAAGGUUCAAUGACCAUUCAGUAAUGAUCCCUCCGCAGGUUCACCUACGGAGA
rnacentral:misc_RNA from 1 species